rnacentral:rRNA from 1 species
UUCGAUUGUGCCAGCAGCCGCGGUAAUACGGAGGGUGCAAGCGUUAAUCGGAAUUACUGGGCGUAAAGCGCACGCAGGCGGUUGAUUAAGUCAGAUGUGAAAUCCCCGAGCUUAACUUGGGAACUGCAUUUGAAACUGGUCAGCUAGAGUCUUGUAGAGGGGGGUAGAAUUCCAGGUGUAGCGGUGAAAUGCGUAGAGAUCUGGAGGAAUACCGGUGGCGAAGGCGGCCCCCUGGACAAAGACUGACGCUCAGGUGCGAAAGCGUGGGGAGCAAACAGGACUAGAUACCCUGGUAGUCCACGCCGUAAACGAUGUCGAUUUGGAGGCUGUGUCCUUGAGACGUGGCUUCCGGAGUUAACGCGUUAAAUCGACCGCCUGGGGAGUA